rnacentral:SRP_RNA from 1 species
GCCAGGUGUGGUGGUGCACACCUUUAAUCACAGCACUCAGGAGGCUGAGACAGGAGAUCACUUGAGUCCAGGAGUUCUGGGCUGUAGUGGGCUAUGCUGAUCGGAUGUCCACACUAAGUUCGGCAUCAAUAUGGUGACCUCCAGAGAGCAGGCGGCCACCAGGUUGACUAAGGAGGAGGAGUUCUAU